GCUGGGUGGGAUCGAAAAUUUAAGAAGACAGUGUUGUUUUCUCUUGAAGAUGAGAAAAAUUCUUCCGCUUGAAAUUCGGUGUUCUGCGAUAUUUUAAUAAAUGUUGCAUAGAAAUAUACAGGCUUCUCUUGCAUUACAGUGAUUUGCUCAUCAAUAGUUUCUACACAAAGGCAUAGGUGGCUGUGGACUUGUUGACAAUCAACAACCAUAGAUUUAAAAACUCCAAAGAAAAGGUCCAAUGAUGUAAGACUCGUUGGAUCUGCUGGGCCUAUUCACCAGAAAAGAAAUGACUGAAGUAAUCAAUUUUCUGAACCCUUUAAUAAAAAUGUGUCAUUCUUAUGUUUAGUAUUUUUAUUAACUUUGAGCCAUCAGUUGUUGUACUGGGCUUUUUCUUGAGCAAUCCCGAAUUGCUAAUUUAUUACCCUCACUUGAUGGAAGUUGACAUCCCGGGUCACUUUUGUGUUCUGGGCCUCAACGAGCUUAUGCUCCUCCUGGCCCAAUCGCAGCCAUGUCUCUGGGUGGUGGCAUCCAUAAAACCCAAUGAGUAAGGUCCUAUCAUAAUUCGUAAUUGCAAGAAGUAUAAUUUGAAUUCAAGACUUUAAAAUUCAAAUUAAUACCAUGGGCUGGAUUUUAAAUAUUGUUUGCUGGAUGUUCUUUUUUUUUUUUUUUCCACUGCCAUCAGUGAUUCACACAAAUAGCUCACAAAAUUUAAGUUUGAAUUUUGGAAUACCUUUACAUGUUUUAAGUUGCUGUUUGUUUGCCAAAAUUAUUGCAGUGGCUGGACUGGUUUUCUGUAAAUAAAUUUCUAUCAUUUCAUCAAAUGAAUAUUCUUUUAACAGAGCAAUGUUGCUUAUAUCUGUCCAGGGACCAGCACUGCUAUCAGUACAUGAUAUAUAACACAGUGCACAGUUAUCAAAGUAUUCAAUUGGAAGUUUAGAAAUGGAUAUCACUUGUUAACUAAUGAACCCCAUAAAUGGUUAUUUAACAAUUUUCAUGAGAUACAAAUAAGUAAAAAUAUUAAGAACAUAGGAACAAUGAUGCUUUGUCCAGAGAGACAAAAAUGUAUGAAUUGAUUUUGAAAAGAAUUAUGACAAAGAGACUACCUUACUUGAGAUAGCAUGUUAGACCACAUAACUGUUGACCAGGACAGUUAGACCUGGUGGCUGUUGAACUGGUCUCGAGAAAUGAGAUUCUUGCUUUUUUCUUUAAAUUUUUACUUAAUACAAUUUUAUUUAUGUAUGUUUUCUUGUUCACUUGUAAGCAUAUAUUAUGCCCAAGGCAGAAGAUAUGAAACAAAGAUUACUGUGUCAGUACUAUGCAAUUUGACGUAAUAGAAGAAAAAUAUUUUUCAGAAAAUUUAUGAUAAUGUGGUUUAAUAGUUUAAACAGUCGUAUUUUUUUGCAGUAUUAUUCAUUUCUUUUUUGAUUCAAAAAUUGUCUUAUAAGCUAUUGAUACAAAUUUUACUUAUUGCUUUAUUAAUAAUAUUUCAUAUCUUAAACUUAAUGUGUAUUUUUAACAUGUAUGUCAAUAAUUAAUUUUUAUAGAAUUUAUGUUUUUACACUACUGUUUACAAGCAUAAAAAUUAUUCUUUACUUGAUGUAUUAUGUCUUGCGUUUCAUGUUAAUUUUAACUAUUAUUGUUACUACCUUCUAUAUCAUGUGAAUAUAGCAAUACCUAAACUCAUGUAUUACUUGUAAAUUAUUCCUCUAUCUGAAUAUAAUAAUACAUUGAAUGUGUAAAUACAUCAGUUAUGUGUGCCAUGUAUUUAAACCAGUGCAA